rnacentral:tRNA from 1 species
GGGGCCGUGGCAGAGUGGCCUAUUGCACCCGCCUUAUAAGCGGGCGAACCUGCUACCACAGGUUCCGUCAGUUCAAAUCUGACCGGCCCCG